rfam:Arabidopsis lyrata subsp. lyrata unplaced genomic scaffold ARALYscaffold_8, whole genome shotgun sequence.
GAAUUGUCAGUAUAAAUCUUUGAUCCAAUAUACUUUUGAUUAGUAGAUGAGUUUUUUUUGACAAUUAUCAAUUAUAUUAAAGAGUGAUCAAUUAGUAUUGGAACAAAGUUUUAUACUGACAAUUCGA